GCUCGGCCUGCCGCCGCCGCGGGGGCCUCUGACACUGCGCGCCAGGCCAGGUUCCGGAAGGCAGUCUGCGCGGGCGGGGAGCUCGGGCCCGGGCGGCCCUCGCGCGCCAGGCUGCCCGCAGCAGGGGGCUCGCACGCAGCCCUCCUCCGCCACCCUCCGGGCGCAGGGGUGCGGGCUAGGACGAGGUGGGGGGCGGAGGCGCCGAGCGCAAGACGGCGCAGGAGCCGGGCGCGACGUCGCACGCGGGGAGCCAGGGAGCUCUCCUGACGGCAGCAAACUUGUUUGUCCAGGGGAGAAGUGGUUGGCUGUUUACACCAGCAGAUGACAGAACGCUCGCAGUCCCGCUGUCGGAAAAGCGAUUGCCUUCAGGAGGCAAGGCUACGUUCAAACGGAUGGAUUUAUGGCGUCGCCGGUUUCGGAAGGACACCAAAGGGAUGGCCGGCCCUGGUCACAUGCAGGGAGCUUGGCGGCUUGGAGGAAGGACAGGAGGGAAGGAAACUUCAUGCUCUGUCCCUUGGGCCCUGGGAGCCUUCAACCACCUGAACAAACAGCUAAUUCACAAGGCCUCCAUCCUUAGAAGGCGUCUGAGAGAGGGCGGGCGGGCGCGGACGACAGCCGGCUCGUGGAAAGCGGGGCAGUGUGCGCGUGCCUCCGCCGGGGAUCUCAGAUCUAAUUGCUUUCAGCAGAGCCCGGCCCGCCAUGUAAUUAAGCCAAGGGGGCUGCGGGCUCCCAGGGUCUAAGUGAUUUCAUGUGCUUUCGGUGAUUGUGCUCAGCUCCUUGGAUGAAAGUGCUGUUUUAUUUUCACCUACAAGAUGGUUCCCAGAGAGGACCUCGCUGGGGCUGGGGGCUGCUUUCCUGCGGCGGUGCGGGUGGGGAGAGCAGGAAGAGGAGCUUCGGGGGCCCUGCCACGUCAGCUGGGGUGGCCCGCAGGCCCCGGGUCCACGUGGAUGGCUGGGGCCAGCAUGUGCCUCCUUAUAGGACCCUCUCAUCAGAGCCAAGGUUUUAUCACUGGAGCCUCGAGUGUCCCUGCUCUUUGAUCCACCUCUAUUUUUGUCAUUAAAAGUGAUCAAAAUGACCCAAAAUGUAAGUAAGGGAGGAGCUGGGCAGGAUGGAGACUGCCGGAGUGUGGUGGAGCUUUAUCCAUUCAGCCCGUGAAAGUUGCAGAGAGGAGUGGUCCAGGAGAGAUUCUGAAAUGGCGGGGCCACCCCAACUGGGCAUCUGGGGAGGAGGGAAGAGCGUGAACCGGAUUCCAUCCUUGCUUGAGAAGUACCCCCAACAGUUCAGAGUGUGUUAAUUUUCAAAAUAAUUUUCAAAAAUUUAUUCUGUUUCCCCUCAUUAUCUGAUAAUACCCUUUGGCCAUGUGGCCUCAGGGAAAUUAACUUCUCUGAGCCACUUAAUUUUUUUAAGGUGUAAAACAGGAUGAUAAUACCUACCUGCUGCCGGGGAGUUAGUGCAAGAAUGGAAUGAGAUAUGUGUGUUAAGAUAUGCACCUGCUGACCUGAAAAAAAGUGCAUAUUAUAUUGUUAAAUGAGAAAGGAAAACCUAUUGUUAAAAGACAAGAGCAAUGGCAAAUCCUCGCAUGGCAGAUCCUAGGGUCCGUAUACAACGCUCACAGUACGAUGCGGCUGGCACUAUUAUUAACCCCACUUGGUAGAUGAGGGAACAGAGUUACAGAGACACAAGUAACCUUUCCCCAGACACACACAGCUUUACGUGGCCUGGCCAGGAUCUAUGCCCUAAACCAUGGUAGUGCCCCCCACCACUGCCCCCUAUUCUGUAAACACAAAUCUCAAUAAAACCCCGUGUGUUUAUGUCAACAUGGAGGAAAGCGUGAGAGGGCACACCCAGACACACAAUCCCUGAAGGUCACCUUGGAGCAGGAGUGGCAGUGAGAACAGAGAUGGGGAGGGGAGAAUAUUCGCUGUAGGUCUAGGUCAUCUUCUGUCACUCGCCAUUUUAAAGAUGAAUUUAAUAAAGAACUUUUUGAAAAGAAAGACAAUGGUUUGGACUCCAGAAGCUUUGUCCGACUUCUCAAUUCCCCGAGUCCAUUUGUUUGGCAUCUUCAUGAGACUGGCGCAGACAGCAGGGGAGCUGUUUUGUGAUCAGAGUUGGUUGUCAGAAGAACAACGGUGUGGGCUUAAGGUGCGUGUUCCUGAGAUCUGGCCUGAGUCUCUUUGCUUCUGGCUCAGCAGUCCUGGGUGCUCGGCGGGGAAAGGGCGUGUGGUCCUAGCAGUGCUGAAGCUCCGGUGGGGGCAGAAUGGCACUGACGAAUGCCAAGGCUCCCAGGAUUUUGUGUGACCUCCCAGUGACCCCCUCCCCCCCCCCCCUCCGCUCCCAACAAAGGGCGGGCUCUUCUCUAACUGAAGCCCCUCACGCUCACCUUUACACGAGGUCUCGGUUCUUUGCUGGGACAGGCUGACUCCCGUCUGGAGGCUGACUGCUGGCCAGCUUGCCAUUUCUUGCUCACUUGUCAACCAGACCCAGGAUCUCUACUCAGCUGCAGGCUGGAGCAAGUGGAUUUCUUUCUUGCUCUGCUGACAUUCUUCCAGGAUUAGCGGAUAUAUUACUUUGGCCCAAAAUAUGGUGAAGCCUAACGAUGUUAGUAAAAUGGAUUACUGUCUGCUCCCCCUCACAUUUCCUGUCAUAGGAGUCAGGGCAGAAAUACAGUUAUUGUGACUUGGGGUUUCUUUAUCAUAAUCAUUAUACACACACACAUAUAUACAUACAUAUAUUAGAAAAUACAGAGGGAGUCUAACCUGCAUGAAGUGAGCAACUUUCUUGAGUUUCAUGAGCUGGGGUUCAGAAUUCUUGGUCUCCUGCUGUCUCACUUUGGACCUCCAAGAAGCAAAGCCUGAGCCAAGACCUGGGUGGGGUGGUUUACUUGGGUGAGGGGAACUCGUGCAGGACACAUGAGGGAGUUUGCACACUGGGAUGGGGAAGGAACAAAGGAUGCCGUAAUGCACUACAAGUGAGUGAGGUCCCCCUGGAGGCCCCCUGAGGACCCUGGUGGACCGUCCCAGACCCCAGGAUGCGGAGGGCUGGGGUGCUUGUCCAGAGCCUGCUGGUUGAGGAUGCCCUGGACAGCAGCUUCCUCCACUUGACAGCUGCUCCUAUACAUGUCUGCCAGUUCCCUUGGGGACAGAGGAAGCCCCAACCCCCUCCAGUGGGUCAGAUGAGACAGGGGUUGAGGAGGGACAUCAUCAGCGAGCUGGGCAGUGUGCCUGCUGCUGCAGGUACCAUCAGGUGGGCCAGGGGGAUUGGGGCCAAUUCAUCAACCCCCCUGCCCCCCCAUAUAUUCGUACAUGAAAGGGUUUAGGUCCUUGCAAACCUUCUCUCACUCCUGUUGCCCUAAUCGUCGAGAAGUGUGUCUCAGGGAGUAAAAGUAUUGCUAAACGUCUAAGGAGUACUAUCAUUAAAAUUAAUAAUAAUUUUCCCAUAAUUAGAAUUAGGAUUGGCUUAAGAUAAGAGAUGCACAAUAGCAAUUGCUAAAUUCACUGCUUCUCAAAUUUUAAUCUGCACAUAGAUCAGCCAGGAAUCAUGUUUAAAAUGCAGAUUCUAAUCCAGUAGAUCGGGGAUAGGGUUGAGCUUCUGUAUUUCUAACAGAAAUGCUGGCUGCUGGUCUGUGCAUCACAGUUUGAGUAGCAAGAGUUUAAAAGUUGGAAGUUUCUCUUUCAUGAAGAUACUGGCAGAUAGCCUGGGCUAGUAUGCAUUUUCCUAUGUAGUCCUCAGGGACCAGGCCUCUCCCAUCUUGUUACUGUAAUGUGAGCAACCUCCAUUCCCCAGGUCCAGUGGAUGGCCCAAGAUGGCUGCCUCAGUUCCAGCCAUCUCACUUACAUUCCAGUUAGCAGGAGAGAAAGGGAGGAAGAGGGGCCAAGUUGUUGUGGUUUUACAAAUCUAAGCAUUUUGUAGAUCCACAUGCAUUUGUGAGAAAUAAUGCAGAGAGAGUUCAUGUGCCCUUCACCUAGUUUCUCCCACCUUGAAAAGCAAUAUUACAGCAUCACUAUCAGGAUGUUGACAUUAACAUAAUCCUCUAACUUAGAUUUCUGCAGCUUUGCUUGUACUCAUGUGUCUAUGUAGUUCUGUGCCAUUUUCUCACCUGUCUGUGCUUGUGUAUCAGAGAAGGCAAUGGCACCCCGCUCCAGCACUCCUGCCUGGAAAAUCCCAUGGGCGGAGGAGCCUGGUAGGCUGCAGUCCAUGGGGUCGCUAAGAGUCGGGCAUGACUGAGCGACUUCACUUUCAUGCAUUGGAGAAGGAAAUGGCAGCCUACUCCAGUGUUCCUGCCUGGAGAAUCCGAGGGACGGGGGAGCCUGGUGGGCUGCCGUCUCUGGGGUCGCACAGAGUCGGACACGACUGAAGCGACUCAGCAGCAGCAGUGGCAGUGCUUGUGUGUCCACCAGUCAAGAGACACAACAGCCCCAUCACCAAAAGGGUCUUGGGCUGCCCUUUAUGGCAGCCACCCUCCCACCUGUAUCUCUGGUCCUUCACUCCUGGCCACCAGGGGCAGAGAGUUUUGGCCAAGGUUUUGUUUUGUUUUCUUUUGGAUGCACCAUGUGACAUGUGGAAUCUUAGUUCCCCAACCAGGGAUGAAACCUGUGCCCCCUGAACUGGCAACGUGGUGUCUUAACCACUGGACCACCAGGGAAGUACCGUCGGCCAAGAUUCUUGACUCCUAUCGUCACAGCAGUACUUCCUGUCCUUAAACGCCAUGUAACAGAAUCACAGAGCAAGUACUCUGUGUCCAGCUGCUUUUUGUUGGCGUGCUUUUGAGCUUCAUCCCUCAUAUUUUCCACAUCAGGAGGUGUGUGUGUAUUUUUAAUUGCCCCUCAUUCCAUCACUUAAGUAAACUAUAAUGUGUUUGUCCAGUCACCUGUUGAGUCAUUUGGCUUGUUUCCACUUUUUGGCUAUUAUGAAUAAAGCUGCGAUGAAAAUUUGCGUCCCUGCCCUUUUAGGGAACACCUGUUUUCAAUUAUGUUGGGUAAAUGCUCGGGAGUGGAAUUGCUGGGUUGAAAGGUAGACAUAUGUUCUACCCAAUAAUACACCACCAGGCUGGUUUCCAAAGUGAUGUGUUUGGUGUUGUCAGUGGGCUCAGUUUCAGUUAUGCUGGCGUGUGCGUGCUGUCUCUGUGUGGUAUUGGUUUGCAUUUCUGAUGGCUAAUUAUGUUGAGCAUCUUUCCAUGUGACAAAUGGCUUUUUGUAUAACAUCUUCCUUUAUUUAGUUAGUUUUUUGGCCACACCAUACAGCAUGUGGGAUCUUAGUUCCCUGACAGGAAUGGGACCCAGGCCCCUGCAAUGGAAGCUCAGAGUCUUAAUCACCGGACCGUCAGGGAUGUCCCUGUAUAUCUUCUUUUACGAAGCAUCUGUUCAAAUAGUUUGCGCAUCUUAAGCAUUGAAUUCCCUUUUUUAUUACUGAGUUGUAGGAGUUCCUGUAUUUUGGAUAUGAUCCUGCGUUAGACGCGUGUUUUGCAAGCAUUUUCUCACAAUCUAUAACUUCCUUUUCAUUUUCUUAAUGGUGUCUCUUUUUUUAACAAAGAACUAGUAAAUUGAUUAUCUAUUUAUUCUCGGCUGUGCUGGGUCUUUGUUGCUGAGCGGGCUCUUCGCUGGUUGCGGUGAGCGGGAGACACUUCAUUGCGGAGCGUGGGCUCCUCACGGUAGUGCUUCUCGUGUUGCAGAGCAUAGCCUCCAAGGCGAGUGGGCUUCAGUGGCAGGGGCAUGUGGGCUCAGUAGUUGUGGAGUAUGGGCGUGUGGGAUCUUCCCAGACCGGGGAUCGAACCCGUGUCUCCUGCAUUGGCAAGCAGAUUCUUUACCACUGAGCCACCGGGGAAGCCGCAGUGGUGUCUGUUAAAGAACAGAGGUCUUAAAUUUUGGUGAAGUAUAAUUUAGCAGUUUUUAAUUUAGUUGCUAGUACUUUUUGUGUUGUUGCUAAUAAAUUGUAUUUUGUCUGUGUGUCUUGGCUCUUUAGGUAUACAGUCCACCUCAGAUUUUUGUGUAUGGUGUCAGAGAAGUAUCAAGGUUCAUUUUUUUUCUCCCUAAGGAUAUUCAGUUGUUCCAGCAGCAUUUGUU
ensembl:lncRNA